rnacentral:lncRNA from 1 species
GGAUUGCUUAAACACUAAUUCCUUCACACAUUAUAUGUGGUAAUGUAUGGAUGUUUAUGUCCGUAUUACUCAAAAGUUCUGCUUUAGGAAUCGUCUUUGAAAUUAUCUACAUCACCAUUCACUGAUGACAAGCUAAUAUCCUUAAAACAGCUGAACAAUAAUCUACGUUCUCUGAUGAGCACUCUACUACAGAGCUUGACAGUGUUGAUCCUGGAUGAGCAGUCAUCCACAGCUUGACACAGUGAAAUAUCUUCAGAAGGAUGGGCUUAGAUAGCCUCAUUCCUGGUGCCCAACAUGGAAUAUGUGCACUGUUUGAAGAAGGUUCUUUUUAACUGACAAGCUGGUAUUUGACAGCCUCUACGACUUCAUCACCCACUACUGAGAAACACCAAUGAGGUACAACGGACUUGAGAUGAGGCUGACAGAGCCGGUGCCUCGGUCCAACACUCGCAGCAAUGUGGACUGGGUGCCGCGGGACGGCACAAGAGGGACAAGCCCAGCUCCAG